GCUGGAGAUCCCUGUGUACCUGAGGUCUUCUAAAGUUUUGGACCUAAAGAGACUGUUUUGCCAGAGAACCAAGAGGGAACUUAGUUCUUGAGGGGUCAGAGCACAGUGGACACCGGUGUCCUUCCACAUCUUCCUGGCUACAGCACUGAAAUGCAACCAGAAUCCAGUUCAUUAGACCUACAGAAUCACAGCUGAGGAAUUUUAAUCUCCAGAGCUGAGAAAGCGAAAAUGAAGUCGGGGCUACAGCUGAUGUGCUCUUACACAACUUUUUCCUCUCUCUGCUAAACUCCCAAUGGAAUGGAACCAAACUCAAAUCCUGCUCACUCAUAAAACAUUUGCUCGGGUGUUCCCAAGUGUGGUAUAACUCCUCUGGCAAGCAAAUACAGCAUGCAGGCUGGCCAUAAAGCGUGCUCCAAAUAAUUGUGGAGGAAGUAGUGAACGUUCCAAAGCCCUGCUUUCUCUCUGAGAUCAGAUGGUCAUCACUGUUGAAGUGAAUUCAGCUCACACAACUUGUUCUUCAAUUUAUCUCUGGAGUUUAGGAGCAACUCCAGCUCUGCUCUGGAGAGCCAAAGGAUGUGUCUCACUCCAGGCCCAGAAGUGAGCUGACAGAUCCUCAAACAGUGCAAGCUGCCCUGGUGCUGCUGAAGUCAGUGAAGUUGCAACAGUUUGCACCAGUUGGGAAGUGCACGACAUUGAGAGCAUUUGUUCCAGCUCUGCCCCUGCCCUCUGGUCUGCAAUUUCACUCUGCCCAGCCAGGUUAGAAGAGGAGGGGACCUCAGGCGCAGAGCUGGUGCUGCAGCACAGACACAGGAAGAUAGUGGCGAAAGGAACGCAGACAUCGAGAGGAAAGCCGCCAGUUCCCAAGCCCAGCUCCUUCUGCGCGAGGUGACCUCCUCCCAACUCCUCUUCUGGGAAAAACUCCUAUUGACACCACAGCAAUGUGGGACCAGAGAAUGGGAAUGAGCUCCAGCUCUGCAAGGCAGCUCUGGCUGCUGAGUGACAGCCACGGCUGCUCCUUCCGAGACCUUGAACCCGGAGCUGCGACCACGCGCAUCCCACCCUGCUGCUCCCAGAGACUGCGCCGCGCUUCUUCCCCUCCCCAAGCAGCAAAACCGGGCAGGAAUUGCCAUUUCAGAGGCAGAGGAGAAAAAUUGAGGGCAUUUCUAUCAAAAUGCAUCUCCUCAUUGAAUAACUUCCCAAACUCUGGUUCAAGUUUAAAUAACAGUUAACGACUCAGAAGCAAUCGGAAACGUUUUGCCAAGGGGAAAUCAGCAGUCCAUUAAGAGCUGAGCAUUAUUGCUGAACACUGAAGGCAGCUUUUAGACAUCGUAUGUUUAUAGACUGAAGGAGCUGGAUACAUUUGAUCUUCCCAAAAAGCACACUAACACUUUUAAUACCAUUCUUCUUCCAUCUGUGCAGGAGCAGCACUUCAGUUACGUUACAUAGGUAUCAAUGGGUCAAGAGAGCUUUCAGAUUUCACUGAUUUUCUACAAAAUACAGAUGUACUGAUGUUCCCCUCUGAAAUCAACUCCUAUGGGAAAUAAACUUUUCAUAACAUGCAUGUUAUGUUCUGCAAUCACAGUUGUUUUUUUUUAAUGUAUACAUACACACACACGUUUAUUUGCCGUAGCAGUGAUACAGUAUGUUUGCUCAUAAUGGACAUUUUUAAUAAAUGUUUUUAGGGAAGUAAAUUAUUUGCCUUCCUGCCAUGUCCUUCCACUUCCACCCAAGCUGCAGUGCUCUGUGGAGAAACCACACAGCCUCUCUACCAAACAACCUUCUCCUCAUCUGACUUAUUCUAUAGGAACGUACCCAUCUCACCUUCUGAAAUUCAAAACACUGCAUGGUGGAACCAAAAAAAAAUUCGGAAUUUGGGCACCAUUCUUUGCCAGUGAUGCUCUUAAAUUCUAUUGGGAGAAUCAACCAUCAGCCAUGAGUAGACUUCAUAUCAAUGAAGUAACCAUUUACAGCAGUUACAGCAAUAGGAUACACCACACUUUGCUAACAACUGAACAAAUGAGCUAAAACAGCAAUCCACACCAAUGCUUGCAUUUUGGAGAAGGUCCCCAAUUUUGGGAUAUUCUCACACCCAGAAUGUUUCUCAAGCGUACAGUAUGUUUCAAUUUAGAGCCAUAUCCUUCAUGACAUGCAAGGCACAAAUAUCCAUUGAAGUCCACCGAUACUUUUGGGCAAGAGGAAGGGAGGUUUCAUUAGCAGCUCGUAUGAAAAUCAUUUUCAAUUGAUAUUCAGUUUAACUGCACCAGAGUUUAAUGCUGAUGGCAAAACCUAAAGCAUAGGUCUCAUCCAAAAUCCUUUGGAAUCAAUGUGAUUCUUAACAUUAACUUCCUCAAAGCCAGGAUUUCUGCCUAAUUGCUUUCUAAUAAAAUGCAUAGGUUAUUUCUAGAUCACUUUGAUUACCUCCAGGAUUCCGCCAGACCAAACUAGGACAGCUCGCCUGCCUCCCAGGGCACUUUCUGUGAAUCCCAAAAGCUGAUACUUUGCAUAUAAUAAUUAUAUCCAAUAAAAAAAUAGCAUGAAGCGACUUCUAAAAUCCAAAGGUCAAAAAUUCAGCUAACAUACAUUAAUCUUUAUUAUGUAACAACAAUAUAAUUAAUGAGUUUAUGAGGUUCGUAUGACCUGUACAAAAAGCCAAAAAGAUAUUGCACCGAGUGAGGUACCGGCUGUUAGGAUUCCAUACUCGUUAAG